CGGGAACCGAGGACCCGGAAGAGAAGCAGGAGGGCCUGAAAUGUACAACUCUUCACUAAAUAAUAAGCAAGCCCAACCUCCAAAGACUGAUCAGAGAAGGGAAGUGUGCGGACCUACACAAUGUUGCUAGGCUCCCACAAGCCCACAAGGCAGGCUGUCCGCCUUUCUUCUUCAAGCUGGAGAGUGGAAGAGGCUGCUCUGGGGAAUCUGGGCAAGAAGACCUACGGAUAGUGAUAUCAGAGACUCCUUCACUGAACAGCCCUUUCAGAUCACCCUACAGUGAUGCCAGGAAAGCCCACUUUUGCACUGAGAACUUCCAAGCAGCCUUUAGACCCUACUUUAUUUAUUUUAUUAAGGUGCCAUUGAUAUACACUCUUAUGAAGGUUUCACAAGAAAAACAAUGUGUUUAUUACAUUCACCCUUAUUAUCGAGUC